rnacentral:rRNA from 2 species
UUAAGCGACUAAGCGUACACGGUGGAUGCCCUGGCAGUCAGAGGCGAUGAAGGACGUGCUAAUCUGCGAUAAGCGCCGGUAAGGUGAUAUGAACCGUUAUAACCGGCGAUUUCCGAAUGGGGAAACCCAGUGUGAUUCGUCACACUAUCAUUAACUGAAUCCAUAGGUUAAUGAGGCGAACCGGGGGAACUGAAACAUCUAAGUACCCCGAGGAAAAGAAAUCAACCGAGAUUCCCCCAGUAGCGGCGAGCGAACGGGGAGGAGCCCAGAGCCUGAAUCAGCAUGUGUGUUAGUGGAAGCGUCUGGAAAGGUGCGCGAUACAGGGUGACAGCCCCGUACACAAAAGCGCAUGUGCUGUGAGCUCGAUGAGUAGGGCGGGACACGUGGUAUCCUGUCUGAAUAUGGGGGGACCAUCCUCCAAGGCUAAAUACUCCUGACUGACCGAUAGUGAACCAGUACCGUGAGGGAAAGGCGAAAAGAACCCCGGCGAGGGGAGUGAAAAAGAACCUGAAACCGUGUACGUACAAGCAGUGGGAGCACAGGUUUACCUGUGUGACUGCGUACCUUUUGUAUAAUGGGUCAGCGACUUAUAUUCUGUAGCAAGGUUAACCGUAUAGGGGAGCCGUAGGGAAACCGAGUCUUAACCGGGCGUUAAGUUGCAGGGUAUAGACCCGAAACCCGGUGAUCUAGCCAUGGGCAGGUUGAAGGUUGGGUAACACUAACUGGAGGACCGAACCGACUAAUGUUGAAAAAUUAGCGGAUGACCUGUGGCUGGGGGUGAAAGGCCAAUCAAACCGGGAGAUAGCUGGUUCUCCCCGAAAGCUAUUUAGGUAGCGCCUCGUGAAUUCAUCUCCGGGGGUAGAGCACUGUUUCGGCUAGGGGGCCAUCCCGGCUUACCAACCCGAUGCAAACUGCGAAUACCGGAGAAUGUUAUCACGGGAGACACACGGCGGGUGCUAACGUCCGUCGUGAAGAGGGAAACAACCCAGACCGCCAGCUAAGGUCCCAAAGUCAUGGUUAAGUGGGAAACGAUGUGGGAAGGCCCAGACAGCCAGGAUGUUGGCUUAGAAGCAGCCAUCAUUUAAAGAAAGCGUAAUAGCUCACUGGUCGAGUCGGCCUGCGCGGAAGAUGUAACGGGGCUAAACCAUGCACCGAAGCUGCGGCAGCGAACGUAUCACCCAAGACAACUUUACGGAGUUGACGAUUGACGGAGCGAAGCGACGUCAAAGCGUUCAUUAAAGUCGAGUUGGCUUAGGGAUACGUUCGUUGGGUAGGGGAGCGUUCUGUAAGCCUGUGAAGGUGUGUCGUGAGGCAUGCUGGAGGUAUCAGAAGUGCGAAUGCUGACAUAAGUAACGAUAAAGCGGGUGAAAAGCCCGCUCGCCGGAAGACCAAGGGUUCCUGUCCAACGUUAAUCGGGGCAGGGUGAGUCGACCCCUAAGGCGAGGCCGAAAGGCGUAGUCGAUGGGAAACGGGUUAAUAUUCCCGUACUUGGUGUUACUGCGAAGGGGGGACGGAGAAGGCUAUGUUGGCCGGGCGACGGUUGUCCCGGUUUAAGCGUGUAGGUGUGUGUUCCAGGUAAAUCCGGUUCACUUUAACACUGAGGCGUGACGACGAGGCACUACGGUGCUGAAGCAACAAAUGCCCUGCUUCCAGGAAAAGCCUCUAAGCAUCAGGUAACACGAAAUCGUACCCCAAACCGACACAGGUGGUCAGGUAGAGAAUACCAAGGCGCUUGAGAGAACUCGGGUGAAGGAACUAGGCAAAAUGGUGCCGUAACUUCGGGAGAAGGCACGCUGACACGUAGGUGAAGUGAUUUACUCAUGGAGCUGAAGUCAGUCGAAGAUACCAGCUGGCUGCAACUGUUUAUUAAAAACACAGCACUGUGCAAACACGAAAGUGGACGUAUACGGUGUGACGCCUGCCCGGUGCCGGAAGGUUAAUUGAUGGGGUCAGCGUAAGCGAAGCUCCUGAUCGAAGCCCCGGUAAACGGCGGCCGUAACUAUAACGGUCCUAAGGUAGCGAAAUUCCUUGUCGGGUAAGUUCCGACCUGCACGAAUGGCGUAAUGAUGGCCAGGCUGUCUCCACCCGAGACUCAGUGAAAUUGAACUCGCUGUGAAGAUGCAGUGUACCCGCGGCAAGACGGAAAGACCCCGUGAACCUUUACUAUAGCUUGACACUGAACAUUGAGCCUUGAUGUGUAGGAUAGGUGGGAGGCUUUGAAGUGUGGACGCCAGUCUGCAUGGAGCCGACCUUGAAAUACCACCCUUUAAUGUUUGAUGUUCUAACGUGGACCCGUAAUCCGGGUUGCGGACAGUGUCUGGUGGGUAGUUUGACUGGGGCGGUCUCCUCCUAAAGAGUAACGGAGGAGCACGAAGGUUGGCUAAUCCUGGUCGGACAUCAGGAGGUUAGUGCAAUGGCAUAAGCCAGCUUGACUGCGAGCGUGACGGCGCGAGCAGGUGCGAAAGCAGGUCAUAGUGAUCCGGUGGUUCUGAAUGGAAGGGCCAUCGCUCAACGGAUAAAAGGUACUCCGGGGAUAACAGGCUGAUACCGCCCAAGAGUUCAUAUCGACGGCGGUGUUUGGCACCUCGAUGUCGGCUCAUCACAUCCUGGGGCUGAAGUAGGUCCCAAGGGUAUGGCUGUUCGCCAUUUAAAGUGGUACGCGAGCUGGGUUUAGAACGUCGUGAGACAGUUCGGUCCCUAUCUGCCGUGGGCGCUGGAGAACUGAGGGGGGCUGCUCCUAGUACGAGAGGACCGGAGUGGACGCAUCACUGGUGUUCGGGUUGUCAUGCCAAUGGCACUGCCCGGUAGCUAAAUGCGGAAGAGAUAAGUGCUGAAAGCAUCUAAGCACGAAACUUGCCCCGAGAUGAGUUCUCCCUGAGACUUAGAGUCUCCUGAAGGAACGUUGAAGACGACGACGUUGAUAGGCCGGGUGUGUAAGCGCAGCGAUGCGUUGAGCUAACCGGUACUAAUGAACCGUGAGGCUUAACCUU